AGGAACUUGUAUUACCAAUUGCAUGUGAUAUUGAAGCAAAAAUUGAUGAGCUUAGUGAGGUGGUGGUGUGGUACGGUGAUGGAGAGAAAAGAGAGAUCUGAGAGUGUUUGAGAGAAAGAAAAAGUGUGUACAGAGACUUAGUGAAGUGAAAAUGAAUGGUAAAGUGAAGUGGUAAUAUUGUGUUGACUAGCAGCUGGGU
rnacentral:lncRNA from 1 species